rnacentral:rRNA from 1 species
CCUACGGGGGGCAGCAGUGGGGAAUAUUGCACAAUGGGGGAAACCCUGAUGCAGCGACGCCGCGUGAGCGAUGAAGUAUUUCGGUAUGUAAAGCUCUAUCAGCAGGGAAGAAAAUGACGGUACCUGACUCAGAAGCCCCGGCUAACUACGUGCCACCAGCCGCGGUUAUACGGAGGGGGCAAGCGUUAUCCGGAUUUACUGGGGGUAAAGGGGGCGUAGACGGUCCUGCAAGCCAGAUGUGAAAGCCCGGGGCUCAACCCCGGGACUGCAUUUGGAACUGUAAGGCUGGAGUGUCGGAGAGGCAGGCGGAAUGCGUGGUGUAGCGGUGAAAUGCGUAGAUAUUGGGAGGAACACCAGUGGCGAAGGCGGCAUGCUGGACGAUGACUGACGUUGAGGCACGAAAGCGUGGGGAGCAAACAGGAUUAGAUACCCUUGUAGUC